GUGAGGAAUAUUGGUCAAUGGGCGGGAGCCUGAACCAGCCAAGUCGCGUGAAGGAAGAAGGAUCUAUGGUUCGUAAACUUCUUUUGCAGGGGAAUACAGUGCGGGACGUGUCCUGUUUUGUAUGUACCCUGAGAAUAAGGAUCGGCUAACUCCGUGCCAGCAGCCGCGGUAAUACGGAGGAUCCGAGCGUUAUCCGGAUUUAUUGGGUUUAAAGGGUGCGUAGGUGGUUUGAUAAGUCAGCGGUGAAAGUUUGCAGCUUAACUGUAAAAAUGCCGUUGAAACUGUCGGACUUGAGUGUAAAUGAGGUAGGCGGAAUGCGUGGUGUAGCGGUGAAAUGCAUAGAUAUCACGCAGAACUCCGAUUGCGAAGGCAGCUUACUAAGCUACAACUGACACUGAAGCACGAAAGCGUGGGGAUCAAACAGGAUUAGAAACCCGUGUAGUCC
rnacentral:rRNA from 1 species